UUAUUUAUGGACUGGAUUUCAAUGGUUUCUACAAGGAAAAGUUAGAAGCCAUGUCAGCAGAGAAGGCUAUGAUGGAAUCUUCUAUACACAGCACAGAUUCUGGAUCCACAGGCUCAUGGCCGACGUCAUCGUUUACGUCACAGCGUCCAGAGACAGCUCAGUAUGUCCCCAGCAUCCACAAACAAAGGCCGUCAUCUAAUUCAUCUAGUUAAACAGGGCUGACUAGG